UCCUGAAAUUUCCCGACAUACUCGUGGUGUAGAUACGGCUCCCUGUCUCUCAUAGCAUCCUCUGAGAAAUAUUGUCCUUCUGAUACAAGCUUAUUCAAGUAAGCCAAUCUUCUAUUCCUUACAGCUACAGACCUCGAUUUAAGCUCUUCUGAGGUCGGGCUUAUCUUCUUCCGCAGGUUUUUCAAGUGCCAGUCAACCUCGUAGUCAUGUUUCAAAUCAUCAAACUCGAGCAAUUCAUCUACAUUAAGCUCUGAUCCAUAUCGUUCUGAAGCAAAGCCAAACAAGUAAGUUUCAGUUCCCAAAUCAAAAUUUCGAUGACGUUCCAAUGUCAAAAACGUACUACAGACUCAAUGCUUAGAUAAUAAUGAAGCCAAAACUCAUCCACCUAUAAGAUUUUAAAUAGCCAUGAAGAAAUCCGUAAUAGAAACGAUGGUAUCACAAAGAUAUUCAAAGAAUCAAACUAUAGAAACUCUUUCAGUUCCGAGGUCAAAAGGGCGAUAGGGUUUAAGUACUACACUCAAUAUUUAGAUGACUAGAAGGAAAAACUCAUAAAUUUCAACACAGCCAUGACGAAAUUGGAAAUAUAAUCAACAGUUUGAGCAGGAAUAAGGAAAGUACCUAGAAAAACGGCGGGAUCACGACGGAGGAGGUCGAGGAGGAUGGAUUUGCGUUGGUCAGAAGAGGCGGCGGUAGAUUGGAC
rnacentral:lncRNA from 1 species